AGUGAACGCUGGCGGUAGGCCUAACACAUGCAAGUCGAACGGCAGCACAGUAAGAGCUUGCUCUUACGGGUGGCGAGUGGCGGACGGGUGAGGAAUACAUCGGAAUCUACUUUUUCGUGGGGGAUAACGUAGGGAAACUUACGCUAAUACCGCAUACGACCUACGGGUGAAAGCAGGGGAUCUUCGGACCUUGCGCGAUUGAAUGAGCCGAUGUCGGAUUAGCUAGUUGGCGGGGUAAAGGCCCACCAAGGCGACGAUCCGUAGCUGGUCUGAGAGGAUGAACCGCCACACCGGAACUGAGACACGGUCCAAACUCCUAAGGGAGGCAGCAGUUGGGAAUAUUGGGCAAUGGGCGCAAGCCUGAUCCAGCCAUACCGCGUGGGUGAAGAAGGCCUUCGGGUUGUAAAGCCCUUUUGUUGGGAAAGAAAAGCAGCAGGUUAAUACCCCGCUGUUCUGACGGUACCCAAAGAAUAAGCACCGGCUAACUUCGUG
rnacentral:rRNA from 1 species